AAGAGAAUGAUGUCUCCUUCAUCUCAACCUAUAAGGCUCUCUUCAAAUGAUACUUUCUCCACAGACCCUCCCUGACUUCCACUGUGUGAACACUGAGUUUUUCCCCUUCUCACAAGACGCUGCCCCCCGUUCCUCCUUUUCCUGGAUUGGAGUCAGGACACCUGGGUCUCAUCCAUGUUCUGCAAUGGAUUUCCCUGUUUAAAGGUAGCAGCCCCGUGCUCGUGGCUCAUCUGACUGCAGGGUGAUGGCUGGUGAAUACAGACAGAAUGCAAGGACCUGGAUUCGCUAUCAAAUAAUUGGGUGUUAUCUGGUCAGGUAAGGCAAGCAUACCCCUGACCCACCACUCCUAAACAAUUGCAGACACCAGCUUUAGGGAUGUUAACUCAGGGACAGGCUUGUGAAUUGAAUGUGGCCGGUUACCCAGAAGGGUUUGGUGGGGGCCUGAGGCAGCGGCAAAAUAAUGAAAGGGUACUCUUGGGCUUCCGGUCCCAGCUGUGGAAGGGGGGGGCAGAGCAACGAUACUGUGUGAUGGAACAACAGCUCUGUGCUGCCAACAAUGAGUUACAGCAGGUGGAGGACAUUACAUAAGGCCUACCUGAGUCAUCGAGCAACACACAAAAACACACUAUCUGGGGUCUGGAACAGCUGUGUACGACAUAUGGGACCCCACCACGGACAUCGAUAGUGACCAAGGAACCCACUUUACCGGCCAUGAAGUUCAGGAAUGAGCCAAUUAAGAAUGACGUACACUGGCAUUUCCUUAUUACCCCACUGCUGCUGGGCUAUGAACGGACUACUUAACAACCGAGAUGGGAAACCGGCUCUCUCAACAUGUGACACAUCCCAGGAGCAAUUGUCCCAGUCCCUACACCGUGAUAACCCAGAAGCAACUAGUCAACACAAGCCGAGUUCACCUGUUGGCCACUGAAGGACCGUUGCCAGCUAUUGGUCAGGACAGUAACUUACUUUUGCCCUCGCCACAGGGUCUAUCCCCAGGAACACGUUAUAAAAUGGCCCUGGGACUGGCAGGUAAGUCCCCGGUGGUUUGCUUUUCCCGCCCCAUGAGGAAUAGGAUUCGAAAGGGACUUAAGAGAUUUCACCUGUCUUCUACCCAGCCCCACCUGAGACUGCUGAAACAAUCCAGGCCCCCUACUGGAGAAAGGCACCAUUGUAUUAGCCUGUGGUCAGUUGUUAUACCACCUCUCCAGCAUUCGGCACUGGCUCUGAGGACUGAGGGUGGACAAGCAGGAUAGUACUGCAGGCCAGGGCAUGGCGGCAUGGCGGCAAAGGUAGUGUCAUCUCAGAAUGCUGUUACUGCUUGUAUUUUGCUUAAUGGUCAUGACCUUCCCUGUAUGGUGCCUGUUAAAACAUCUUACAUUUUGUCCCUAGUCUGAAUGGAGGGAAUCUGUUUGUGGACUGGGCAACAGUGGUGUGGCCUCACUGCGAAAUGAGUUCGAUUGCUGGAACUACAGCGAGAUGCUGUUGUUGUCCUCUGGAAUUCCAUGAAAAUUUGACCUGAUGAGCUGCCUGGCUCUGAAGUUUGCCCACCUCUUGCACUCUUGAUGCUCUUUAGCUUCUGUUGUCUGUAUUGCAUUUGCGGUAUUUGGUUGCGGGGCACCACUGCGUACCUGACCCCAGGGAUAUCUCGGAAGAGGGGUGAACCAAGAUUGUAAGGGUCAUGCAGGGUAUGUGGGGUGGAGUGUAUGGCCAGGCCGCUCAAGGUGGCUGUUCCUUGCUCUUUGUACAUCCCCUGCCCGACCAGUCCCUGCUUCACCUACACCCUGCUCACACGAACGUGCUUGGCCUCUGCCCCAGCUAGUGAUUGUUCUAGUCUUUAGGCCAGAACGGCUCCAGCUGCUAGUUUAUUAAAGGGAAACAUCUGUCCUGGAGACGGUUUUUGCCCUGAGGGGCUGGGAGGGACCUGCCCCAGCUGCUAGUUUCCCUGGUAACUGAUGAGCCAACCUGCGGUCAUAUCCCCCUAUAAAUGGUAGCCUCCUUCUCCCCUGACUAGCAAAGAUGGUUGCCGUGGCCUGCCUGUUGUCUGUCCUACAUGGUAGGGUGACCCCUUGUUUUGGACGGGUAGGAUCCCCUAUCCAAUAAAUCAUUGUCUCUGUCCCUGCCUUGGGGCUCUUUCUUCAGUCUCGAGGCUGGGCAAUUACAAGGCUUGCAGGCCUGCGGGGUGCAGCCCAAACUGGUCUAAGGUUGGUCUGAGUUUCAUCUCUUAUUAGUUCCUGCAAACCUUUGGAAAUGUUUAAGAACACUGAAAGGGUCCAGAGUCAGCAUGAAUGAAUGAUUAUCUGAGUGAAUAAAUAGAAGGAUCAGUACAAAAGAAAACCUCUUGGACAAAUCUUCAACUGGAUAAUGGGCCUCCCUGAAUUUGAGUGGAGAGUAACAUAUAUGAGGGAAAUGCCUUAGAAAGAGUACUAGAGGCCAGUUGUUACUGCCCUAUAAUCUGGCCUAUGAUUUCAUAAACUGGUUUGUUGGGCAAAUGUCCACUAUGUAACUGUUGCUGGAUUCUUUAAUGUGUGAAAGUUCACUUCAGAAUUAGAGAUGAAUGUAUUCCUACUUAAUAGUUUUACAUUUAUAAAUGAUGUGUAAAACAAGGGUCUCUUCCCACUUCCAGUGCGAGACCCCAUCCAAUUGAUCGUUAUGUCCCUUGUUACCACUGAAUUGGUUAUCAGCUCACUGAGGAGAAACUGUCAUAUUCAUCUUUGUAUCCUCCCUCAGCUGCCACAGUUCUGGUAACAAUCAUUCAAUUGCUUAAAUUUCUUUCCGAUUCCUACUGCCACCUUCUUGGCUCAAAUGUUCUUCAUGCUUGGAAUAUUACUAAAUUUCUUUAUUGCACACCUGAUUCUAUGCUUGACUACCCCCUGCCCCGCCCCGCCCAAAAAAACCCCAUUUUAUGUAUUAUAUAUUGCUGCCUGAUGAUUAUAUAUAAAUUAAUACGUUACUACCCAAGUCAAUAUUUUCAGUCAGGGGAUGUUUGAAAGCUUAUCAUGUUGCUAUUUAGUUUUCCCUGUUGUCUUAAGCAAUAUUUCUUAGAUUUGACUCAUACUAAUAAUCUGAGAACUUAAAAAAAAAAAAAAAAAACUCGUUAUACCUGAAUCGAAAUUCCCACAGAAGGAGCCCAAGAAUCUCUAUUUAUCAAGCAUCCGGGUGACUUUUAUGAUUAAGUACUUGUGGUUAUUGUACUAGCAGCAUUAGUAUCACAUGUGAAAAAGUAAAUUUGGGGCCCCUUCUCACUUUAGGGUCCAGCAAUCUGAUUUAGUAAGUCUUCCAGGUGAUUCUGAUGUAUACUAAAGUUCGAAUACCAUUGAACUAGCCUGUAACAAUGACUUAGGGCAGUGGUUCUCAGAUUUGGCUGCACAUUACAAUCAUCUAAGGAACUUUUAAAAACAAAAACAACACUGAUACCUAGACCAUACAUCCAGAUAUUCUAAUUGAAUUGGGGCACAGCAAGCAUUUGACUAAUAUAUCAUCAUGGAUGCUGAGGCUGAUGUAACCUACCACCUGUAACUCAUCUCAGAAUUUUGUAUUUAUCUAGCCUUACUGAUUGGAUUUAUAUGGUGACAAGUUUGAAUUCUUAACAUAAAUGUGUGCAUUUAAGAUAUUGAGGUUCUCUGUAGACAGAUUUAAUUUGAAAAGGGAUCAUCUACUAAUCGUUUGAAAACCACAAGCCUACAGACUCAAGUCCAAACCCUUCAGUCUUGCCUUUAACACACGAGUUUGUCUCUCUUACUAAUACCGCAUAGCCCUACUCUCUAGCUGUAAUAUUGGGUUGGCCAAAAAGUUUGUUCAGGUUUUUCCGUAGCGGCUUAUGAACGAACGUUCUUGGCCAACCCAAUAUACCUGUAGGAAGUAUGCUUCCCAGCACCGAGGAAGGGGAAAGAGCACCAGACUGAGGUCCCAGACUACAGUCUAGUUCCAGCCUGUUGGACCUUGGCAAGUCACUAACUCUCUUUUGGCUUGUUUCCUCAUUACGAAGGGAGGGGCCAGAACUGAAUGAUGUCUAGCACUCCUUCUGACUUAGUGUUUUAGCAUUUUCACAUUCAGGUUCAUUUCCAACUUAGACUGUGUUGUCCCUUCUGUAGGAUAACUCAUCCAAAGGCACAGUUCAAGAUCUAAUUAUCCUUAGCAUUUCUUUGGCACUCAGUCCAUGCUUCUUUGACCUCUUAGGCAUCUUUGUGUGUUUAUGUCUGGUCUCCCACUGGGUAAUAGAUUUCACAUAUCUCUUUGUAUCCCUAAAUGCCCAGUAUAAAAGUCCAUGUUAUCUUUUUUCUCAGGACCAUGAAUUAUGGCCGCUGCCAUUUGUUUUAUUCCAACAAUAGCUAUGUUGAAAGCUUGUUUUUGCUGUGUGAGCUCUCAUGACUGUACCAAAGGUUUCCAACUUAUAUCCUACUUGUCCCACAAAUUUUCUUUUAUGAUAGUCCUAUUCAGCCCCUAGUUUCCACUGAAUAUUCUCAAAAAAUAGCUCUCUUGUGGCCUCUGCUGGUUUGACAGUAGACAACUGCUUCACUGAUUCCUUAAAUGCACACUAAAGGAUUCAAGUGUAAGGACACUUCAGUUUUCCAAGGAGCCAUUCUAACAGCAUCAGCUCAGCAAAGAGAAAGAUUUUGAGGUGUCUCUUAAACUGCUAGGCUUGCUGAGAAUAGACAGUGGUAAAACCUGAUGUAUUUUAAAUGCUUAUUUCUGAAGUGGCAUUUUUCAAAAUUAAACUCAUGCUUGUUAAGAUGUCAGGAAUAAGUGAAUAAGAUUCUUAGGUGUGUUCUUUAAAAGCUUGCCCCUUUGGAAUAAACUUGUCAAAAUUUGCCUGAUUCUGAUACUUGCAUUAUACCUGGCAAAGAUAAAAGUGCUUGAUAAAGGUUUAAGUAAAUGUACUAGUGUUAUUUGGUUUACGUAACACUAUUCCUUUUUGACAACUAAAUUAUAAAUUAAAGACGA